AAAAAGACAAACCUUAGAUUUUCGUGUCCAACGUUUGACUGUUCGUCUCAUAUGAAAUUUUUUUAUAAUUAGUAUUUUUAUUGUUGUUAGAUGAUAAAAUAUGAUUAAUACUUUAUGCGUGACUUGUCUUUUUAAUUUUUUUCAAAUAAGACGGACGGUUAAACGUUGGACACAGAAACUCAGAGUUUGUCUUUUU
rfam:Oryza meridionalis cultivar OR44 (W2112) chromosome 6, whole genome shotgun sequence.